ACGAACGCUGGCGGCGUGCCUAAUACAUGCAAGUCGAGCGAAGUUUUUCUGGUGCUUGCACUAGCAAAACUUAGCGGCGAACGGGUGAGUAACACGUAAAGAACCUGCCUCAUAGACUGGGACAACUAUUGGAAACGAUAGCUAAUACCGGAUAACAGCAUUAACUGCAUGGUUGAUGUUUAAAAGUUGGUUUUGCUAACACUAUGAGAUGGCUUUGCGGUGCAUUAGCUAGUUGGUGGGGUAAAGGCCUACCAAGGCGACGAUGCAUAGCCGACCUGAGAGGGUGAUCGGCCACACUGGGACUGAGACACGGCCCAGACUCCUACGGGAGGCAGCAGUAGGGAAUCUUCCGCAAUGGGCGAAAGCCUGACGGAGCAACGCCGCGUGAGUGAAGAAGGAUUUCGGUUCGUAAAGCUCUGUUGUUAGGGAAGAAUGAUUGUGUAGUAACUAUACACAGUAGAGACGGUACCUAACCAGAAAGCCACGGCUAACUACGUG
rnacentral:rRNA from 1 species